UCGGGAAUUUUGGGCAAUGGGCGAAAGCCUGACCCAGCAACGCCGCGUGAGGGAUGAAGUAUUUCGGUAUGUAAACCUCGAAAGAAUGGGAAGAAUAAAUGACGGUACCAUUUAUAAGCUCCGGCUAACUACGUGCCAGCAGCCGCGGUAAUACGUAGGGAGCAAGCGUUGUUCGGAUUUACUGGGCGUAAAGGGCGCGUAGGCGGCGCGGUAAGUCACUUGUGAAAUCUCUGAGCUUAGCUCAGAACGGCCAAGUGAUACUGCUGUGCUAGAGUGCGGAAGAGGCAACCGGAAUUCUUGGUGUAGCGGUGAAAUGCGUAGAUAUCAAGAGGAACACCUGAGGCGAAGGCGGGUUGCUGGGCCGACACUGACGCUGAUGCGCGAAAACCAGGGGAGCAAACG
rnacentral:rRNA from 1 species